rnacentral:rRNA from 1 species
GACGAACGCUGGCGGCGUGCCUAAUACAUGCAAGUCGAGCGGACGAAUCGAAAGCUUGCUUUUGAUUCGUUAGCGGCGGACGGGUGAGUAACACGUGGGCAACCUGCCCUGUAGACGGGGAUAACACCGAGAAAUCGGUGCUAAUACCGGAUAACACGAAAUGUCGCAUGACGUUUCGUUGAAAGACGGCGCAAGCUGUCGCUACAGGAUGGGCCCGCGGCGCAUUAGCUAGUUGGUGAGGUAACGGCUCACCAAGGCGACGAUGCGUAGCCGACCUGAGAGGGUGAUCGGCCACACUGGGACUGAGACACGGCCCAGACUCCUACGGGAGGCAGCAGUAAGGAAUCUUCCGCAAUGGACGAAAGUCUGACGGAGCAACGCCGCGUGAGCGAAGAAGGCCUUCGGGUCGUAAAGCUCUGUUGUUAGGGAAGAACAAGUAACGCUGUAACUGGCGUUACCGUGACGGUACCUAACGAGAAAGCCACGGCUAACUACGUG